UAACCCCUUCGAAGCAUGAGUGAAAUAUAAAGGUGUGUGUUCCAAUAAACUUUAUCCUCUUGAUUGAUGUAAUAAUAAUAAUAAUAAUAAUAAUAAUAAUAAUAAUAUUUGAUGUACGGAGAUUAAGUAACUUACCAAAAGAGUACCACGUGUCGUUGCACAGUUGGGGCUCUAUUUAUGGGCCGGGCCGCAAGAUAGAUAAAGCCAGCGAGGCAUUCCGAUCUGUACCCCACUCGUCGUGAAAGACGAGCGAAAACCAUGGCGGCGAUCGCGCACUCCAUCGGUGGCCCCGAGAGCGCACAAGCGCGAUCAGCGCUGACAGAGGACGGUGGCGCCGGUCGGGAGCCACGUCUUCCGUGGUGGUCAGGAUCUUAAGCAAGCCGUCACCGCCGCCGCUGCCGAGGACCUCAACAGAAGUUUGUCGACGCCGCAGACUCUUCUUUCCAGACCAUGGUUGAUUGAAGGUGUGAUUUCUGCCUCGACAAUCGUUUGACAUCUCUAAUUUAAUCUCUGCAAAACAAGGAUUCAAAUGGGUUAUAAGAAUUGGGGUACCACUGUGUUGAAUUUGAAUUUUAGGUUUAUCGAGUUGAUUGUCCCGAGGAUGGGACGUCAGGAUUCUUAGCUAUCUUAGAUGAUAAGCGCAUUUGAUUGCUAGAGACUGAUAGGUAUACUAUUAAUUUAGGCCUAACUCUUUUGUCGUCGCAUGGAAUGAAUGUGUCGUGAAGUUUUUCUGGUUCAAAAGCAAGUGUUUUUUGUCUCAUUCUAUUUGUAUUUCGUGUUCCUCAUCAUGAUAUUGCUGUUGAGAACAUAGAGUUGCAUGUCUGUAUGUUGAUGGAAUGGAGAACAAUCUGUAUGAAGUUUUUCUGGUUCAAAAGUAAGUUUUUUUAUCUCAUUCUAUUUGUAUUUGGUGUUCCUCAUUAUGAUAUUACUGUUGAGAACAUAGAGUUGCAUGUCUGUAUGCUGAUGGAAUGGAGAACAAUCUGUAUGAAGCUUUUUCUGGUUCAAAAGUAAGCUUUUUUAUCUCAUUCUAUUUGUAUUUGGCGUUCCUCAUUAUGAUAUUACUGUUGAGAACAUAAGAGUUGCAUGUCUGUAUGUUGAUGGAAUGGAGAACAAUCUGUAUGAAGCUUUUCUGGUUCAAAAGUAAGCUUUUUUUCCUCAUUCUAUUUGUAUUUGGUGUUCCUCAUUAUGAUAUUACUGUUGAGAACAUAGAGUUGCAUGUCUGUUUGUUGAUUGAAUGGAGAACAAUCUGUACCUAUCUCUCUUUCUACUUCCAUUUGUCUUUACAUUUACAGAGAAUAUCAAUCCGAUCUUACUUUGACUAGUUUGACUUAGAGUUGAAUGCUUAAAAGAAAAUAUAAUUCUUCCAAUAGAUGCCUCUUAAAAGUAGCUUGCAUUGGUUUGGUAUUGUUUGUAUUUCAGCAAGAGCCAAUUUGUAGCUCCUCAUGAAAUCUGAGAUAAGUGCCACUGAUAUAUAAAGUGGAUGAUUGUUUACAUCAAACUUAAUGGCACAAGAAAUGUUCUACAACUAUCGAAUAAAACUUUGUGAUGUGAAAGCUGUACAAAAUUUCUUUUUGAAUUUGAAGUCUCCCUCCACCAUCUUUUUCAUGCUUUAGGUUAUAGCUGAGCAUUAUUCUUGUAGUGAUGACACCAUUUUGUCAUGCUCAUGAUAAUAUUCAUCUUAUUAAGUUGAGGUUUGGCUGCAUGCACUAUCUACUCUGUUUGCUUGUUCUGUAUUGAUAAUUUGUGUUUCCUGUUUACAUGUAUUAAACUCUAUUAUCAUCUUUCACAAUUGUCACUGGAGAUAACUUUCAUAAUUGAAGUAAUAUAUGACCCAAAACUGUUGGUGCUGAGAUGAGUAGAUAAACAUGGCAAGUUUAUGGUGGCAACCAUGAGGACCAUUACCUUACCUAGCAGAAGUUAGAAGAAUCUACUGGAUCCUUCAACUUUGCACAAUGAUUAAAUAUGAUUACCUCACUCCUACCUGAAUGUGCCCACAUUUGUGUCUGCAGGCACUUUUGGAGUCAUUUCUCUGGUAUUCAUAUGCUUCUCUCUCAAUGUUAUCAGUCAGAAGUUUUUCAGGGAAAAGUUUACCUAAUGGAUCUAUCUUUUUGCCUGACAAAGAUCUGAACAUUUAUCAUUUUAUGUACAAAUUACAGCAACUGCAAAGAAACCUAGCUUGUUCAUUGCAGCUUUUCUUUUCACUCCCACCAAACAUAUUGAUAUGCCUGUCCUCAUGCAUUACUGGUCCCAACAUGCCAAAGUUUCAAUGCCUCCCCUUUCAUCAACUCAGAAAGGAAGCCACCAUGCAUGCAUCCUCAAACUAGCAAAACUGCACUCACUGACAACAUAACAAGCUUUCCUCGUGAAGUGAUUGUAAGGCUACCAGAAUGAGAGAUUCAACAUCAAAACCUCGGAGAACAUCUGAGGGAAACCCAGGUAGGUGAAGGCCACUGGAUGGGGGAACAUGAUAGAGAGAGAUUGAUUUGCCUGAUAAAGCCUAUCACACAUGUGGAGUGAGAGCAUGGAUCAACACUUGCAGAUACUUAGGGGAAUGCCAAUUUGGAUUGUGCUAUUUCUACUCAGGAAAAGAACUCGUUCAAAUUGUUCAAACUCUGAUGUCAAGUCUUUUGUAAGUAAUUCAUUGCCAUUAACUCUCAUCCUUUUUAUUUUCUUGUGUGGCAG
rnacentral:lncRNA from 1 species